UACGUAGGGGGCUAGCGUUGUCCGGAAUCAUUGGGCGUAAAGCGCGUGUAGGCGGUCCGGUAAGUCCGCUGUGAAAGUCGGGGGCUCAACCCUCGGAUGCCGGUGGAUACUGUCGGGCUUGAGUACGGAAGAGGCGAGUGGAAUUCCUGGUGUAGCGGUGAAAUGCGCAGAUAUCAGGAGGAACACCAAUUGCGAAGGCAGCUCGCUGGGACGUUACUGACGCUGAUACGCGAAAGCGUGGGGAGCAAACAGG
rnacentral:rRNA from 1 species